AUUAACGCUGGCGGCAGGCCUAACACAUGCAAGUCGAACGGUAACAGGAAGCAGCUUGCUGCUUCGCUGACGAGUGGCGGACGGGUGAGUAAUGUCUGGGAAGCUGCCUGAUGGAGGGGGAUAACUACUGGAAACGGUAGCUAAUACCGCAUAAUGUCGCAAGACCAAAGAGGGGGACCUUCGGGCCUCUUGCCAUCGGAUGUGCCCAGAUGGGAUUAGCUUGUUGGUGGGGUAACGGCUCACCAAGGCGACGAUCCCUAGCUGGUCUGAGAGGAUGACCAGCCACACUGGAACUGAGACACGGUCCAGACUCCUACGGGAGGCAGCAGUGGGGAAUAUUGCACAAUGGGCGCAAGCCUGAUGCAGCCAUGCCGCGUGUAUGAAGAAGGCCUUCGGGUUGUAAAGUACUUUCAGCGGGGAGGAAGGGAGUAAAGUUAAUACCUUUGCUCAUUGACGUUACCCGCAGAAGAAGCACCGGCUAACUCCGUGCCAGCAGCCGCGGUAAUACGGAGGGUGCAGGCGUUAAUCGGAAUUACUGGGCGUAAAGCGCACGCAGGCGGUUUGUUAAGUCAGAUGUGAAAUCCCCGGGCUCAACCUGGGAACUGCAUCUGAUACUGGCAAGCUUGAGUCUCGUAGAGGGGGGUAGAAUUCCAGGUGUAGCGGUGAAAUGCGUAGAGAUCUGGAGGAAUACCGGUGGCGAAGGCGGCCCCCUGGACGAAGACUGACGCUCAGGUGCGAAAGCGUGGGGAGCAAACAGG
rnacentral:rRNA from 1 species